CGUAGGGUGCGAGCGUUGUCCGGAAUUAUUGGGCGUAAAGAGCUUGUAGGCGGUCUGUCACGUCUGCUGUGAAAAUCCGGGGCUCAACCCCGGACUUGCAGUGGGUACGGGCAGACUAGAGUGUGGUAGGGGAGACUGGAAUUCCUGGUGUAGCGGUGGAAUGCGCAGAUAUCAGGAGGAACACCGAUGGCGAAGGCAGGUCUCUGGGCCAUAACUGACGCUGAGAAGCGAAAGCAUGGGAGCGAACAGGAUU
rnacentral:rRNA from 1 species